UGCGGAAGGAUCAUUACCUAGAGUUGCGGGCUUUGCCUGCCAUCUCUUACCCAUGUCUUUUGAGUACCUUCGUUUCCUCGGUGGGUUCGCCCGCCGGUUGGACAACACUUAAACCCUUUGUAAUUGAAAUCAGCGUCUGAAAAAACUUAAUAGUUACAACUUUCAACAACGGAUCUCUUGGUUCUGGCAUCGAUGAAGAACGCAGCGAAAUGCGAUAAGUAGUGUGAAUUGCAGAAUUCAGUGAAUCAUCGAAUCUUUGAACGCACAUUGCGCCCCUUGGUAUUCCAUGGGGCAUGCCUGUUCGAGCGUCAUUUGUACCUUCAAGCUCUGCUUGGUGUUGGGUGUUUGUCUCGCCUCUGCGCGCAGACUCGCCUCAAAACGAUUGGCAGCCGGCGUAUUGAUUUCGGAGCGCAGUACAUCUCGCGCUUUGCAACCAGACGACGACGUCCAAAAAGUACAUUUUUACACUCUUGACCUCGGAUCAGGUAGGGAUACCCGCUGAACUUAAGCAUAUCAUA
rnacentral:rRNA from 1 species